rnacentral:rRNA from 1 species
GAUGAACGCUAGCUACAGGCUUAACACAUGCAAGUCGAGGGGUAACAAGAGAAAAGCUUGCUUUUCUUGUUGACGAUCGGCGCACGGGUGAGUAACGCGUAUCCAACCUGCCUAUAACUAGGGAAUAACCUUGCGAAAGUAAGACUAAUACCCUAUGAUUUCCUUUGAUGACAUCAGAUUAGGAAUAAAGAUUUAUCGGUUAUAGAUGGGGAUGCGUCGUAUUAGCUUGUUGGCGGGGUAACGGCCCACCAAGGCAACGAUCAGUAGGGGUUUUAAGAGGACGCUCCCCCACAUGAGAAAAGGGAAACGGACCAAACUCCUACAGAAGUCAGCAGGAAGGAAUAUUGGUCAAGGGGCGGAAGCCUGAACCAGCCAAGUAGCGUGCAGGAUGACGGCCCUAUGGGUUGUAAACUGCUUUUGUACAGGAAUAAAGUUAGCCACGUGUGGUUAUUUGUAGGUACUGUAUGAAUAAGGACCGGCUAAUUCCGUUCCAGCCGCCGCCGUAA